rnacentral:rRNA from 1 species
GACGAACGCUGGCGGCGUGCCUAAUACAUGCAAGUAGAACGCUGAAGCGAGGAGCUUGCUCUUCUUGGAUGAGUUGCGCACGGGUGAGUAACGCGUAGGUAACCUGCCUGGUAGCGGGGGAUAACUAUUGGAAACGAUAGCUAAUACCGCAUAAAAUGGAUUAUCGCAUGAUAAUCCAUUGAAAGGUGCAAAUGCAUCACUACCAGAUGGACCUGCGUUGUAUUAGUUAGUUGGUGGGGUAACGGCGCACCAAGGCGACGAUACAUAGCCGACCUGAGAGGGUGGGCAGCCACACUGGGAGUGAGACACGGCCCAGACGCCUACGGGAAGGAGCAGGAGGGAAUCGGCGGCAAGGGAUGGAAGUCAGAGCGAGAAACGCCGAGGGAGGGAAGAAGGUUGUCGGAUGGGAAAGCACGGUUGUAAGAGAAGAACGAGUGUGCGAGUGGAAAGUUCACACUGUGACGGUAUCUGAACAGAAAGGGACGGCUAACUACGUG